UAGCAGAUUUGAAAUGGGCAAAGGUUUGGAAUGUGCCAGCAAGGGCAGCCUGGUCUUCCUGCUUGCCAGGGACCCACUACAAGCAGGCUGUGCCCCAGAGAAGAAUGGAGAACGCAGAUAACUGACGGGGGCUCCAAGAAGCGAGAAACCUGGGCGGACCUCAGCCCAGCCCACAUCCCAGAACCCGGAGGCCAGGGGCUUGGCCAGGUGGAGGUCGGCCCUAGCCCUGUGAGCGUGAGACUCGGCCACCAAGCUUUAAGGUCGUCGUUAUGCAGCACUGUUGUGGCAAAAGCCGACUGAUACACCUGCCCUGGCACUUGGGGAUACAGGGAAACGGAUGUGGUGAAUUGAAGAUGAUGCCACACGUCCCCUGGUGUGCCGAGGUAAAGGCUUGGGAACGCUGGGAAGAGGGAGGAAAGAGCCAGAAGGUUAGCGCGAGGCACUCAUUCCCUGUAGCUUGACUACUGUUUCCAGAAAUUGAGGGCCGGUUUGCAAUUAGAGUUACCCCAGAAAGUUGGGACUCCCAGGUUGAAAAAGCCACUGUUUAUGCCUCAAACAGUAGGAGAAAAGAUGGUGGCUGUUCAAGGCCUGUCACUCAGGCAGCUCAGUCCAACAAAAGUGUGCAGGCCUACGGCAAAGAUCAGAUGAAGGCUCAGGUUGCGGGGGGAGGGGAGCAGAUGGCUUAAUGAAUCAUCUGUCAGUUGGACCCGGAAGACAGUCAUCGGGACCCACGGAAAGGCUCUGCCCAUCCUAGAGAGGCAGGCUUUGGGCUGGGUCUUCUCCCUGGAGAUGAUGGUGACUUUUUCUAACACGAUGUGUGGAGGAAGGGUGGGUCUCACAGAUGUCUGGAGGCCAAGGGCUGGCUGGCUGCCGUCCGGCUGUCCAACAGAAGCCGUUACCCCUUCUCAUGGGGCCCCUGGCUGGUCUGCAUUCCCAGGCUCCCUCGCAGUAGGUGUGGCUGGGUAACCGUGGUGUCCAACAGAAUCUGGCAGAAGCAGUGUGCACCAGUUUCAGGAGCAGGUCACCCUUCCAGGAGGCUUUUAGGGUUCCCCCUUCUGAUGGCUGAAAUGGGCACAUCAGAGAGACUGUGGAAGACAAAUGUGCAAGAUGACAGGGCAGCCUUCAGCCUGGGGCCCAACCAGGCCCCACCCCGCAGGAGCACUUGCUUGGGCAGGUCAGGGAUAAAUAAGCCGCGGGCUGGCAUGGGCAGCUACGUUUGGGGUCUAUUUGCUACAGUUGUGUAACUUGCACUGAGCAAGAGUUUCAGAACACACAGUGUUCAAAAACACCAGUAAUAGCUUCAGAGAGAAAAGAGAUUUUGUUCUUUAAAAAAAGAAUCUGGGGAAGUGAACUCAGAUUUUUGCUUCCUUCCUCAUAAUUUUAGGUAGUAUUCAAAAAUUUACAAGAAGAUUCAGAAAUAAUAACCAAGAAAACUGCAUUCAUGUGAACAAAUAAAAAUAAGCUUUGGGGCUGGGCACAGUGGCUCGCGCCUGUAAUCCCAGCAUUUUGGGAGGCCAAGGCGGGUGGAUUGCUUGAGGUCAGGCAUUUGAGACCAGCUUGACCAACAUGGUGAAACCCUGUCCCUACUAAAAAUACAAAAAUGAGCUGGGCGUGGUGGCGGGUGCCUGUAAUCCCAGCUACUCAGGAGGCUGAGGCAGGAGAAUCACUUGAAUCCGGGAGGCAGAAGUUGCAGUGAGCCAGGACUGCGUCAUUGCACUCCAACCUGGACAACAAAGUAAGACUCUGUCUCAAAAAUUAUAAAAAAUAAAUAGAGGCCGGGCACGGUGG
rnacentral:lncRNA from 1 species